AGCUUACUAAACUAUGAUUGACGCUGAGGCACGAAAGCGUGGGGAGCGAACAGGAUUAGAUACCCUUGGUAGUCCACGCUGUAAACUAUGAUCACUGGUUGUUGGCAAUAUACCGUCAGCGACUGAGCGAAAGCAUUAAGUGAUCCACCUGGGGAGUACGUCGGCAACGAUGAAACUCAAAGGAAUUGACGGGGGCCCGCACAAGCGGAGGAACAUGUGGUUUAAUUCGAUGAUACGCGAGGAACCUUACCUGGGCUUAAAUGUAGAGUGCAUAGAGUGGAAACAUUCUUUUCCUUCGGGACUCUUUACAAGGUGCUGCAUGGUUGUCGUCAGCUCGUGCCGUGAGGUGUCGGGUUAAGUCCCAUAACGAGCGCAACCCUUGUCGUUAGUUGCUAGCAGGUCAAGCUGAGGACUCUAACGAGACUGCCGGUGUAAACCGAGAGGAAGGUGGGGAUGACGUCAAAUCAGCACGGCCAUUAUGUCCAGGGCUACACACGUGUUACAAUGGCCAGUACAAGGAGCAGCCACCUGGCAACAGGGCGCUAAUCUCAAAAGCUGGUCACAGUUCGGAUCGGAGUCUGCAACUCGACUUCGUGAAGGUGGAUUCGCUAGUAAUCGCGCAUCAGCCACGGCGCGGUGAUACGUUCCCGGGCAUUGUANCACCGCCCGUCAAGCCAUGAAGCUGGGGUACCUGAAGUCCGUACCGCAAGGAGCGGCCUAGGGUAAACC
rnacentral:rRNA from 1 species